rnacentral:misc_RNA from 1 species
UUAACUUAUUUUGUUUUGCUCAGACGACACUAAACGCAGGGUUGGGUCCUCUGGCGGGCGCGCCCCGGCCGAAGCCGGGAGCCCCCGAGGGGGCGGCCCGCCAAAGCAACAAGUGGUAAAUAACACAGGGUGGGAGGUCUACCCCGGAGGGCAUGAUCUCUUUAAUGAUCCUUCCGCUGGUUCACCAACGGAAA